GGAUCUCAUUUCAUGAUAGAGCGAUAUAAUUUUUAAGCGUAUGGAUAAAGUGCAUUUAUCAAAUGUUGUCAAAACGUCUGCUAUCAAAGAAUCUGCUUGUAAUUUAUAUCGGUUUUUUUACAUGGUAUUGAAUAUUGUCGAUAAUGAUUUAAAUAUGAAUUCUCUUAUUUUUCCACAGUUAAUGAGUUGAGUGGACGAGAGGAGUUUGACGAGUUGCUCCUAGCGUACGCCCGAGAUGUCAUGAUUGAACCUUCAAGUCGAGAUUUACCUUACUUCUUGGAAAGCAAGAAUAAUAAGGAAUACAAUGGCCAAAAUUACACCCAGAUAUUUUCCACUUUACUAAAAAACAAAACAAACGGAUUUUUUGUAGACUGCGGAUCAUUUGAUGGCGAACAUGGAUCUGUUUCUAUGAGCUUUGAGGCUGAUCAUAAUUGGAGUGGACUACUUGUAGACGCAUCACCCAUAUCAUUGCAAAAAAUAUUGCUAAAAAGUAGAAAAGCGUGGUUCGCUCCAACGUGCAUGAGUCCAGAAAGAAAAUCCAUGAUGGUAUCGUUUGAGGAACAGGGAAUGCAAAGUCACAUUACGAAGGAUGAAAAAAAAGCUACAGGUCCGGUGGUGAGAUCUCUGUGCUUACCCUUCCACACCUUGAUGAAGGCGUUGGGGGUGUCGAAAGUGGACCUUUUUAACUUGGACGUGGAGGGAAAUGAGCUGCCCAUUUUAAAAACUAUUGACUUUAAUCUUGUGCAGAUUGACGCAAUGACUAUUGAGCACUACAAUAAUAAUGAGAAUGAUAGAAACGAAAUCAAACGAAUAAUGCAGGAAAAUGGAUUCAAAUUUCACGGUCAAAACGGCUUUGACUUUAUGUUUAUCCACAGCCGGGUCUAACAGCCCAUCUGUAACUGUCACUUUAACUUAAGAAAUAAAAACUU